rnacentral:misc_RNA from 1 species
UAUUGCUCCUGCUAUGGCAGCUGGCGCUGGAGGGGUAUGAUACUCCUUUUGACCCAUGAAUGGCCUUUUUCUUUAUCCGGAAAAAAGUUUGUGUAAUGAAAUUUAUCUUCAUAGUUAGAAAUUUAUUUGAAAUAUCAUCAUUCCAUACCAUUCUGAAUGUCUGAUAUAAGGUGAGUGCAAACGAAGCUUAAUUAUCUCAUAAAGAAGAUGGAUCUUAACAGGUACAUGUCAUUUAGGAUAAAAAGUGUGUGUGUGUGUUUUUUUUUU